CUGAGGCGUGGUCUUGUGACUCAGUGAAGCUGAACAGGCAGAAAUACCAAGAAAGCAAACAGAAAAAAAAGAGAACUUAUAAAGCAUCGAGCUGUGCCACGUGGAAUGGAAUUUCAGGGGCCAUGAAAGGGAUUCAAGGAGAUCCCAGUGAAGUGGGGAUCUGUCAUAAAAAUCGAGGUGUGUCUGAAGAAAUGACAAGAAAAGAAAGCAAUCAGACAUUGGAGAGGAACCAUAACACGAAGGCUUCUCUUUCACUAUCUCCCUGUGCCUCCCUCAGCUGCC
rnacentral:lncRNA from 1 species